UUGGAGGGCAAGUCUGGUGCCAGCAGCCGCGGUAAUUCCAGCUCCAAUAGCGUAUAUUAAAGUUGUUGCAGUUAAAAAGCUCGUAGUUGAAUUUCGGAGUUUGUCGGUCGGCCGGGCUUCACUGUCCGCACUGGCAUGAUGGAUUCCUACCUUCUGAAUAACCAGCAUGCUAUUAAGUUAGUGCGUUGGGGAAGCAGAGCUAUUACCUUGAAAAAAUUAGAGUGCUUAAAGCAGGCUUAUGCUUGAAUAGAUUAGCAUGGAAUAAUAAAAUAGGACGGCAUGGUUCUAUUUUGUUGGUUUCUAGGAUCACCGUAAUGAUUAAUAGGGAUAGUUGGGGGCAUUAGUAUUCAAUUGUCAGAGGUGAAAUUCUUGGAUUUAUUGAAGACUAACCUCUGCGAAAGCAUUUGCCAAGGAUGUUUUCAUUAAUCAAGAACGAAAGUUAGGGGAUCGAAGACGAUCAGAUACCGUCGUAGUCUUAACCAUAAACUAUGCCGACUAGGGAUCGGACGAUGUUAAUUUUUUAAUGACUCGUUCGGCGCCUUACGGGAAAC
rnacentral:rRNA from 1 species